GCUUACACAUGCAAGUCGAACGAUGAAGGGGAGCUUGCUCCCUGGAUUAGUGGCGAACGGGUGAGUAACACGUGAGUAACCUGCCCUUGACUCUGGGAUAAGCACUGGAAACGGUGUCUAAUACCGGAUACGAACUUCAGCCGCAUGGCUAGGAGUUGGAAAGAAUUUCGGUCAAGGAUGGACUCGCGGCCUAUCAGCUAGUUGGUGAGGUAAUGGCCCACCAAGGCGACGACGGGUAGCCGGCCUGAGAGGGUGACCGGCCACACUGGGACUGAGACACGGCCCAGACUCCUACGGGAGGCAGCAGUGGGGAAUAUUGCACAAUGGGCGCAAGCCUGAUGCAGCAACGCCGCGUGAGGGACGACGGCCUUCGGGUUGUAAACCUCUUUUAGUAGGGAAGAAGCGAAGUGUUUUACAUGGAGUGACGGUACCUGCAGAAAAAGCACCGGCUAACUACGUGCCAGCAGCCGCGGUAAUACGUAGGGUGCAAGCGUUAUCCGGAAUUAUUGGGCGUAAAGAGCUCGUAGGCGGUUUGUCGCGUCUGCUGUGAAAACUGGGGGCUCAACCCCCAGCCUGCAGUGGGUACGGGCAGACUAGAGUGCGGUAGGGGAGAUUGGAAUUCCUGGUGUAGCGGUGGAAGGCGUAGAUAUCAGGAGGAACACCAAUGGCGAAGGCAGAUCUCUGGGCCGUAACUGACGCUGAGGAGCGAAAGCAUGGGGAGCGAACAGGAUUAGAUACCCUGGUAGUCCAUGCCGUAAACGUUGGGAACUAGAUGUAGGGUCCAUUCCACGGAUUCUGUGUCGCAGCUAACGCAUUAAGUUCCCCGCCUGGGGAGUACGG
rnacentral:rRNA from 1 species